rnacentral:rRNA from 1 species
UACGUAGGGUGCAAGCGUUAUCCGGAAUUAUUGGGCGUAAAGAGCUCGUAGGCGGUUUGUCGCGUCUGCUGUGAAAACUGGGGGCUCAACCCCCAGCCUGCAGUGGGUACGGGCAGACUAGAGUGCGGUAGGGGAGAUUGGAAUUCCUGGUGUAGCGGUGGAAUGCGCAGAUAUCAGGAGGAACACCGAUGGCGAAGGCGGGUCUCUGGGCCGGAAACUGACGCUGAGGAGCGAAAGCGUGGGGAGCGAACAGG